rnacentral:rRNA from 1 species
UUGCACGCUGGCGGCAUGCUUUACACAUGCAAGUCGAACGGUAACAGCACUUCGGUGGCUGACGAGUGGCGAACGGGUGAGUAAUACAUCGGAACGUGCCUAGUAGUGGGGGAUAACUACUCGAAAGAGUAGCUAAUACCGCAUGAGAUCUAAGGAUGAAAGCAGGGGACCUUCGGGCCUUGCGCUACUAGAGCGGCUGAUGGCAGAUUAGGUAGUUGGUGGGAUAAAAGCUUACCAAGCCGACGAUCUGUAGCUGGUCUGAGAGGACGACCAGCCACACUGGGACUGAGACACGGCCCAGACUCCUACGGGAGGCAGCAGUGGGGAAUUUUGGACAAUGGGCGCAAGCCUGAUCCAGCAAUGCCGCGUGCAGGAUGAAGGCCUUCGGGUUGUAAACUGCUUUUGUACGGAACGAAAAGCCCUCUUCUAAUACAGGAGGGUCAUGACGGUACCGUAAGAAUAAGCACCGGCUAACUACGUG